GUAGUCCACGCCGUAAACGAUGUCAACUAGUUGUUCGUGUCAUUAAGACGUGAGUAACGCAGCUAACGCACUAAGUUGACCGCCUGGGGAGUACGGCCGCAAGGUUAAAACUCAAAUGAAUUGACGGGGGCCCGCACAAGCGGUGGAGCAUGUGGUUUAAUUCGAUGCAACGCGAAGAACCUUACCAUCCCUUGACAUCCAGUGAAUUUUUCAGAGAUGAAUUAGUGCCUUCGGGAACACUGAGACAGGUGCUGCAUGGCUGUCGUCAGCUCGUGUUGUGAGAUGUUGGGUUAAGUCCCGCAACGAGCGCAACCCUUAUCCUUAGUUGCCAGCACGUAA
rnacentral:rRNA from 1 species